UCCUUUUUCGUACUCUCUUGCUAACGUCGCUGGUGCCUGCUGCCUCCAUUGUUGCCUAAGUUAAAUAUCUCUCUCCAUACAUAUAUUAUGUGGUCGAACUUGUGUAAAAGUAGCUGAAGAGAUGUUUAAGAAUACGUUUCAGUCUGGUUUCCUUUCAAUUCUCUACGGCCUUGGGAGCAAGCCUUUACAAAUAUGGGAUAAAGAACGUAACUCCUCUUUUCAUUUCUUUUUCUUGUUUGAAGUAUGUUUCUCUUACUUUGUGUUGCUUAUUAUACACUUGAGUCAAACGGGCUUUUUUUGUUG